ACCUUCGGGCCUCUUGCCAUCAGAUGUGCCCAGAUGGGAUUAGCUAGUAGGUGGGGUAACGGCUCACCUAGGCGACGAUCCCUAGCUGGUCUGAGAGGAUGACCAGCCACACUGGAACUGAGACACGGUCCAGACUCCUACGGGAGGCAGCAGUGGGGAAUAUUGCACAAUGGGCGCAAGCCUGAUGCAGCCAUGCCGCGUGUAUGAAGAAGGCCUUCGGGUUGUAAAGUACUUUCA
rnacentral:rRNA from 1 species